rnacentral:rRNA from 1 species
UGAGUACGAGAUGCUACGGCAUUGAAGCAGUCUAUGUCAUACUUCCAAGAAAAGCUUGCACUGUCAUAAAUAAACAAUGCCUGUACCAUAACCGACACAGGUGGGUAGGUAGAGUAUACUAAGGGGCGCGAGAUAACUCUCUCUAAGGAACUCGGCAAAAUGACUCCGUAACUUCGGGAGAAGGAGUGCCUUAUUCGUAAGGUUGCAAUAACAAGAUCCAAGCAACUGUUUAUCAAAAACACAGGUCUCCGCUAAGUCGCAAGACGAUGUAUGGGGGCUGACGCCUGCCCAGUGCCAGAAGGUUAAAGAAGUCGGUUAGCAUUUGCGAAGCUGGUAACUGAAGCCCUGGUGAACGGCGGCCGUAACUAUAACGGUCCUAAGGUAGCGAAAUUCCUUGUCGGGUAAGUUCCGACCCGCACGAAAGGCGUAAUGAUUUGGAUACUGUCUCGGAGAGGGACUCGGUGAAAUAGACUUGUCUGUGAAGAUGCGGACUACCUGCACCUGGACAGAAAGACCCUAUGAAGCUUUACUGUAACUUGAGAUUGAAAUUGGACUUUAUAUGCGCAGUAUAGGUGGUAGGCUAUGAAAAUCUUUUUGCGGAAAGAUUGGAGCCAUCAGUGAGAUACCACUCUUAUAAUGUUAGAUUUCUAACUUUGUAUCAUUAUCUGGUCAAAGAACAGUCUCAGGCGGGCAGUUUGACUGGGGCGGUCGCCUCCCAAACGGUAACGGAGGCGCACAAAGGUUUCCUCUGAACGGGUAGAAAUCGUAUCUAGAGUGUAAAGGCAUAAGGAAGCUUGACUGUGAGACCUACAAGUCGAGCAGGGACGAAAGUCGGUCUUAGUGAUCUGACGGUGCUGAGUGGAAAGGCCGUCACUCAACGGAUAAAAGUUACUCUAAGGAUAACAGGCUGAUCUCCCCCAAGAGUUCACAUCGACGGGGAGGUUUGGCACCUCGAUGUCGGCUCAUCGCAUCCUGGGGCGGUAGUACGUCCCAAGGGUUGGGCUGUUCGCCCAUGAAAGCGGUACGCGAGCUGGGUUCAGAACGUCGUGAGACAGUUCGGUCCAUAUCCGGUGUAGGCGUUAGAAUAUUGAGAGGAGCCUUCUUUAGUACGAGAGGACCGAGAAGGACAUACCUCUGGUGUACCAGUUAUCGUGCCAACGGUAAACGCUGGGUAGCUAUGUGUGGAGUGGAUAACCGCUGAAAGCAUCUAAGUGGGAAGCCCACCUCAAGAUAAGUA